GGGUUUGAUCCUGGCUCAGAACGAACGCUAGCGGCGCGUCUGAUUCAUGCAAGUCGAGCGAGGAUUCCCCGCAAGGGGAGUUCGAGCGGCGGACUGCCGAGUAAGACACAGGCAACUUGCCCCUUAGACCGGGACAACCCACCGAAAGGUGGGCUAAUACUGGAUAUUAUGGCCUUUCGCAUGGGAGGUCAUGAAAGGUUGGAGCCCGCAAGGGUCUUCCACUGAGGGAUGGGCCUGUGGCCUAUCAGCUAGUUGGUGAGGUAACGGCCCACCAAGGCGAUGACGGGUAGCCGACCUGAGAGGGUGAUCGGCCGGACUGGGACUGAGACACGGCCCAGACUCCUACGGGAGGCAGCAGAGGAGAAUCAUGCGCAAUGGGCGAAAGCCUGACGCUGCGACGCCGCGUGAGGGAUGAAGGCCUUCGGGUCGUAAACCUCUGUCGGAGACUAGGAACGGGCCGGGGGUAAAUAGCCCCUGGCCGUGACCAGUCUCGAAGGAAGGGACGGCUAACUUCGUGCCAGCAGCAGCGGUAAUACGGGGGUCCCGAGCGUUGUUCGGAAUUACUGGGCGUAAAGGGCGUCUAGGCGGAUUCGUAAGUCGGGUGUGAAAUCCCCCGGCCCAACCGGGGAAUUGUGCCCGAGACUGCGAGUCUAGAGUGUGGCAGAGGAGAUUGGAACUCCUGGUGGAGCGGUGAAAUGCGUAGAUAUCAGGAGGAACGCCGGAGGCGAAAGCGAUUCUCUGGGCCAUUACUGACGCUAAAGCGCGAAAGCUAGGGGAGCAAACAGGAUUAGAUACCCCGGUAGUCCUAGCCGUAAACGAUGAACACUAGGUAUGGGAGGUUCCGAUGCCUUCCGUGCCGUAGCUAACGCGUUAAGUGUUCCGCCUGGGGAGUACGGUCGCAAGACUAAAACUCAAAGGAAUUGACGGGGGCUCGCACAAGCGGUGGAGCAUGUGGCUCAAUUCGAGGCAACGCGAAGAACCUUAUCCUGGGCUUGACAUGCGGGUGGUACAACCCUGAAAGGGGAAGGACUUUCUCACGAAAGAGCCCACACAGGUGCUGCAUGGCUGUCGUCAGCUCGUGUCGUGAGAUGUCGGGUUAAGUCCUCCAACGAGCGAAACCCUUGUCCUUAGUUGCCAACGGGUCAUGCCGGGAACUCUAAGGAGACUGCCGUUGUAAAACGGAGGAAGGUGGGGAUGACGUCAAGUCAUCAUGGCCCUUAUGCCCAGGGCUGCACACGUGCUACAAUGGCCGGUACAAAGGGACGCAAGACCGCAAGGUGGAGCAAAUCCCAAAAAGCCGGUCCCAGUUCGGAUUGGAGGCUGCAACCCGCCUCCAUGAAGCCGGAAUCGCUAGUAAUCGCGGAUCAGCUACGCCGCGGUGAAUAUGUUCCCGAGCCUUGUACACACCGCCCGUCAAGCCAUGGGAGCUGGGGGUACCCGAAGUCGUCUAUUCAACCCGCAAGGGAGAAAGGCGCCUAAGGUAAACCUGGUGACUGGGACUAAGUCGUAACAAGGUA
rnacentral:rRNA from 1 species